AACUGCUAUCGAGAGGACUCAAGGAAGCGGCGGGAAGAAAGCGAGAACGAAGAAACCCUCGGUAAACGGGGUGGCUUUAACAAAUAUAAAGUGAAUGACGCCGAAAAACUACAGUGGAAGCAACAAAUGCAACUACCUGACAAACAAACAACAAAUAAUACACGAUGCCAACUCGGAAUUACAGCUACGAGUACCCAGCAGAGUAUUAGCGGAAGUAACAACACAAACUACAAGAAUGAAAGGAGCACCCAAUGCAGGUCAGGCAGUACAACCAAGCGGUACGAGCAAAAUUCGAUACAACUAUACCAAAUCAUAUUGAGAGAUAAGGUUCCUCUGCGAAUGGUAGUUCCAAACUAGUAUCGUCAACCGUUUCUUCCUGUUGGGUUUCCGGUCCCAUCGGCUCGACCGCAGUGGCUGGACGAGAUGUAUUCACCACUGAUGUUGCGACGAGCGGUAUUACAAAGGCGGGGUGCCGCCGGUACGCAACAUAAGCGGGCAUAAAAUCGACACCGUUCGGCUUACACCGUUUUUUGGUUUUACAGUAAUGUGUUCGACAGGAUACCCGGGUAUCUUUUCAUAUUUCAAUCCAUGAAAUUCCAGUGUUCUUCUCCAAGCUGGAGAUUGGUAUUUAGUGACACCGGAAAACAUCCCCAAGCUUAGCGUUUUAGGGAAUAGAAUUUGAUGAUGUGGAAAACGGGGCUCUGAGCAGGGCUUCUAGAUUUUUUUAUCCCGUAACAGGCCGACAACGGCACCCGGCUGUUUUGGAUUCAGGAACCCAUCUUCUUUUUGACUCUGUGAAAAUGAACCGGAUGAAUUCAUCUGGUUGUCGGGAUUUCGGAUGUUUCGGAGGAAUGAUCCGGUAUUGGAAUACCAUUUGUAAAUUUCAAUGGAAUACUGGCAAUAUGGGUAUCAACAUUCAUGAUUUGACCCCGAAACGGACAUUCCUGAACAGGUUUUCGUGGGGCCGUGGGUUGCCGUUUGGAUGUCAAAGUAUCAUAUGGUCCCGUAACGAUGAAUAACAGA